GGAAGAGGGUUUGAAAAAUGGCGGGCCUGACGCUGACUGGCUAGGGCAGUAAACGGUGGGGGGAAGGGAGCGGUUGGCCCGAAAGGGAAAGCCCCGCCAGAUUUAAAAAUACCGAGUCGCGAGCCUGAGGGUCGUUGGCAAAGGCUGGCGGCCGCGACUCGCUUUGCGGUCGCUGAGGUAACUAGGCAGCCUGCCCUGCGCCUGCUCCGACCGCCUUCCCGGCCCAGAGCUCCUCGGCCCCGUCGGAAGGAUAACUGGGGGGAGACUGAGGCGCUUGCCCUGCGGACCGCUUGCCCAGCUCCGCCCGCGGUCGCUGAGGUUGGAGUGCAACUCCAGGAAGACGAGAGCUGGCGGGGAACCUGGGCAAGGGCGCGGGAGGACUGCGGCGCCCGCCUCCCGAGGGGUGUUACAAACCGAUCUGAAAAAACUAGGAAAUCCAGAAGACCAUAGAAUGACAUCUUUAAAUUACUGAAGAAAAGAAAUGCUAACCUCAAGGUCUAUAUCCAGGGGAAAAACUCUCAAGAAUUAAGGCAAAAUACAGAUGUUUUCAGAAAAACAAAAGCUGAGAGAAGUUAUUGCUUAAGGAAAAUGGUCCUAAAUCCUAAGAAAGAAAAAAAGAAUACAGGAGCACUGCAUUCAAAAUAGUCAAGAACAAUUUAGCCCUUAACAAUGAAAGCCGAAGAAUACAAUAUGAUUCCGAAAAUAAAGGAAUCAUUUGAGAGGAAGAUUCCAGUACCCUUGCAACACAGAGGAGAGAGCAGAAGGAGAAAAGAGCUGAGAGACAACAAAUAACAAGCACAGUUUAACAACUGGCACGUGGCAGAGUUAAUUCUCAAGCAUCUGGCUCCUGAGUCCAUGUUCUUAACUACUACAGAUGAUGCUGUGACACUAUGAUAUACUGUAACAAGAGUAUUUCAUACAUUUAAAAGUUAAUGUCUUAUCAUAAAUGUGGGUUAGCAGCAAAAAAGUUGUAGGAAUUGUAUUAAUUGAAUAGUCCACAAAUAAUCAGCAAGUUCCUACUUUGUGCCAGGCACUGUUCUACUAGAAAUACAAUAAUGGGGAAAUUUUUUUAAAAAGAGAGGAGAGGUCUCUUUUCUCCCUUUUUCAGGUUGAACAAAAUUGCCUGGGAAGAAUUCAGAUUGGCUUGGCUUGAAUCAUGUGCCCACCCAUUGAACUGACACAUAGCUGAGGGGUGGGUAUGUGGAAAUAACCUAGUGGAAAUGCCCACUAUAACCCUGAGACAAGGAUUUGAGUGCAGGUAGUUUAUCUGGAGGAUUCAGGAAACACCUGUAGGAGGUGGGGACGUGAGACAAAGAAGGGAAGGCAGUAAAUAAAGGGUGCUUUACUAAGCCAGCUGCCACUAGUAACGACGAGUGUAAUCCCACUGGAAAAUUCAGGGAAAUAGUAUGAAAUACAUGCCUCAAAGUUAUCCCAUGUGAGGGGCAAAAUGGUUUCUGUAUAAUAUUGCAUAAGGAAUGCUGAGAUGGGAGGUUGAUAAUUCUCAAGCACUUCCAAAUUGCCCUAAUUACACUGGGUAGGACUUUCUUCCACCUUUGGAAUGCAAAGGGACACAGAUUCCUGCAGCUGAACUCUGCCCUAGAACAUUAAAGUGGUAAAAAGCCAGAGAGGUAUAGGAAGGGAUUUAGAGGAACUACUAUUUACCAGAUAAAAAUUUAUUCUCUAAAGAGUUAUGAUUUCCAAAUAUUUCGUGCCUGUGAAAGAGUUUUAUAAAGUAGAAAGUAUAAUACAGAGUUAUGUAGAAGUUUCUUAAAGGCAGGGAGUAUCAUGUUUUAUAUCUCUCAUAGGACCUAGUACAAUGAUAUACUAAUGUCAUUGGCACAAAUAUUUACUGAGUGAAUUUGUCAAUUUAAUUAACACCUAAACAUGUUUUCUAAGUUUAAAAAGGUAGAAUUAUUUUUAAACGUUCAUUAAAAUCCAUAACUCAUUUCUGCUAACUUCUGAAAGAUUUUUUUUUUAUCUGUUUCAGGAAUUUUAAGUAGCAUGGUCUUGUUCUAUUCCUUCUAUCCUAUUUCUUAAAUCUAGACCAUUGCAGUAUUCCACUGUGUAAAUGUAACAGAGAAGGAACUCUUACCCUUUGCAAUAGCAGGGAUGGAUCUGGAGAUUAUGAUGCUAAGCAAAAUACCAGUAAACCAGUCAGAGAAAGACAAAUACCAUAUGAUCUCACUUACAUGUGGAAUCUAAUUAACAAAAUAAACUGAUGAAAAAAAUAGGACCAGAGGCAUAUCUCAGAGGGGAGGACGGGAAGGGUGACUAGAAGAGAAUAGCCAAAGAACAUAGUAUAUGCAUAGCCCAUGGACACAGAAAACAAUGGGGUGAAGGUGGGUGGCUGGCUGGGGGGAGGGGAGCAAUGGGAGGAGGAAAUGGA